rnacentral:piRNA from 1 species
CAAGACACAAGGGUGGAUGCUGGUGCUC